GGCCGAAUGGUGUAGUUGGUUAUCACGUGUCGUUAACAUUCAUUUGUACCGACAAGGUCCUGAGAUCGAGCCUCAGUUUGGUCA